UACAGAGGUGGCAAGCGUUGUUCGGAAUUACUGGGCGUAAGGGGCGCGUAGGCGGUUCGUUAAGUCCUGUGUGAAAUCCCCCGGCUCAACUGGGGAACUGCACAGGAAACUAGCGGGCUUGAGUUCGGGAGAGGGAAGCGGAAUUCCGGGUGUAGCGGUGAAAUGCGUAGAUAUCCGGAGGAACACCGGUGGCGAAGGCGGCUUCCUGGACCGACACUGACGCUGAGGCGCGAAAGCUAGGGGAGCAAACAGG
rnacentral:rRNA from 1 species